AUACGGAGGGCGCAAGCGUUACUCGGAAUCACUGGGCGUAAAGCGCGCGCAGGCGGCUAUUUAAGUUGGAUGUGAAAGCCUAUGGCUCAACCAUAGAACUGCAUCCAAAACUAUUUAGCUAGAGUGUGGGAGAGGAAGAUGGAAUUAGUUGUGUAGGGGUAAAAUCCGUAGAGAUAACUAGGAAUACCAAAAGCGAAGGCAAUCUUCUGGAACACUACUGACGCUGAGGCGCGAAAGCGUGGGGAGCAAACGGGAUUAGAAACCCUAGUAGUCC
rnacentral:rRNA from 1 species